rnacentral:lncRNA from 1 species
UUCAUUUUUAACAUAAAACAGAAGAGAUCCAAUACAAGAAGAAGACAUGAUCCAUGAACUUGUGUGACUUUCAUGACUUUAACCAAACCAAUCAGAGGUUAACAAUGGUGGGCUUAAAGUCAACUAUAAUAACCUUUUCCAAGCUAGGAAGAAACAAAUUUGCAAACUCAACAUGUGCAGGAUGAGCCCCAUACUCUGCAAUGGCUUCCACACUAUCAAAGGUUGAUUCAAACACAUGAGUAAAACCUUGGUGCAGGUUUUCAGCACUUACAUCCGUGCCCCUAUAAUACAUAUACGAGGAUUGUUAAUUUCAUAGAUCUAGAUCUUAGAAUUCUACAAUUUUGGUUGAUUGGAAAGAGAUCCAGAUUCUGCAAAUCGAAAAGGAAAACAGGGUUGAAUGAAAUAGUGAGUAGGUACCAGUGGAAUGACUUCAUGACUGGGAUGAGAUUGACGAGAUUGGCAUAGCCCUUGAUGAGUUCGUCGAUUCGCUGUUGAGUGAUGUCGUCCUUGAACUUUCCGAGGAGUAUGUGUAUCACUAUUCCAUUUGCUUCUGCCAUUUCUUUUCUUCCUUUUCGUUUCCCACUUGCUAAACUAUAGUCUCUCCGAAAUAAUACUUUAAUAAUGCUGCACCGUAGCUGUACACAUAUGUUCAAUCAAAAUACUUUAAGAUAUUAAAUCAUAUAAAUAAUUUAAAAUUUACACGGACUUGAUCGAGAAACAUGAAUGUCGUUGGUUGUCAGUGUAAAAAUAAUUUUCAGUCAAAGUUGAUCAUCCUUUUUUUUUUAAAAUAAAUAUCACUUUAAUAAAAUAAAUUGUUUUAAAAUAGAUCUCAUUUUUUCACUUUUCACUUUAAUAAAGGAAAGAAAGCCUCAAUCAGAACCAGCUAAGUGUCUGACUUUAUUUGUCAUGGUUCCCCACUAUUGUGUCUAACAAAUGAAGGCUAUCUUUAUUUAACAUUAAUCUAACCAAAGAUUUUAAUGGCUUCAUCUUAGUGAAGAUGCAAUUGUUUACAAUUCCUUUAUUGAAUAAAUUUGAAACCUGAAAGUAGAGGCUUUGCCAUGAACGUCGAAAGCUAAAAACAUGUGUCAAGAACAACUAGUAAAACUAAUGAGCUUUAUAUAAUCAAGCUUGCUAUUAAGAAACCAAAUGUGAUUUUAGGACAAGUAUGCUUGAGAGCCAUUGCCAAGAAACUAAUGAGGUUUGGAUCAGAAAAGGAUGAAGACAUUUAUAUGUCCAAUGACAGUACGAGUAAUGAUGAUCUAAAGAUACAAAAUAAACAAACUGCAAAGACAUGAAGGAAGAAUAAAAGAUACAAAAUCAUUUCCUGAUGAUGAGUCUAUAUACAAUCUAUACGUGACAAUUUCAAGUGUCCCCUCCAGAAGGAGAUUUCAUGUCCUGAUCAUUUGAAGUACUAGUUGUUGCUGAUGUCGGAUUUCUUAUGUUUCCAUCUCCCACUGAUGGAGUUGUUGGCAAAAUUUCAGACGUACAAGCUUCUUCUUUGAUGGAGCUGUUGGGAUCAAUGUUGGCCCCAAUCAUCUGAUCAACCAAAACAUAAAGAUUGUUACUAACUUUUAACACCACUGGUUGAGAUUUAUGCAGUCUCGCGUGAAUUUCCAUCAAUCAAUAAUCGAAAUAGGAUAUGCUUACUUGAAGAGGGACGGCUGCUAUGGGAUUUUUUUCAUCAUUUCGAGCAAUCUCUGCAAUUCUUGCACCUGUUUUCUUAGCAGUGUUUGUGUUGAAUAAGGCCGCAGUAAUCUAAUUGAACAAAAAGAUGAAGAUUGUUACUCGCUUAAAUAAAAACGAAUGAGUGCAGCCAUUUUGAAUAUGAUCUGCUUACUUUAACAUGCCUGGCCACUAUGAGAGAAUUGACAGAAGCAUUUGCAAACGGUUUUCCCUUAUCAUCUAUGCAUGUAACCAUACAUGUUGCCUUUGCACGACAGUGACGACCAGCACCAUCAACCAGACUUUUUAUCGACAUUAAAUGUAUCUCAAAUUCUCCCUACAUGCAUAUAGGAAAUUCGAAUAAACGGCACACACACACACACACAACACAAAUCAAAAGAUAUGAUUUAACCUUGAUGUGGAUGGGACCGUCUGGAGUAAGACUCACAAUGUCUGAUACAGAACCCGAUGCAGAAAGUAUGAUAACAGUUUUACGACGAUUUUCCACAGAUAUAUUGUAUAGAACCUCUACCACAUCCUGCAAAUCAUAUGUUCAGUAAAUGUAAUACAAAAUUGCAUCUGAAAUGUUAACAUUAGUCAGUUCAUGUAAUACCUGGCGAGCAUUCAACUCAAUCACAUGAGAAGGUCAUUUUGGUUUAUACACAUACCUGAUGCGAUGCUAGAAGUAAAAUAGAUGAUAUUACUAGGGUAUCAUCCCACAAAUGCAUACAAGUAGUACAAUCCAAGAACUAAAUUGUAGAAAAACAUUAGAGGAAAUAAAUGUUCAUUUUUAACAUAAAACAGAAGAGAUCCAAUACAAGAAGAAGACAUGAUCCAUGAACUUGUGUGACUUUCAUGACUUUAACCAAACCAAUCAGAGGUUAACAAUGGUGGGCUUAAAGUCAACUAUAAUAACCUUUUCCAAGCUAGGAAGAAACAAAUUUGCAAACUCAACAUGUGCAGGAUGAGCCCCAUACUCUGCAAUGGCUUCCACACUAUCAAAGGUUGAUUCAAACACAUGAGUAAAACCUUGGUGCAGGUUUUCAGCACUUACAUCCGUGCCCCUAUAAUACAUAUACGAGGAUUGUUAAUUUCAUAGAUCUAGAUCUUAGAAUUCUACAAUUUUGGUUGAUUGGAAAGAGAUCCAGAUUCUGCAAAUCGAAAAGGAAAACAGGGUUGAAUGAAAUAGUGAGUAG